rnacentral:lncRNA from 1 species
AUGCCUGGGGCACUGCCUGGCCCCUGUUAUUUUCCUAUCUCUAAUCACAUCGCCGAUAUUUGGCUCCGCUUUUCACUCUGCUUGGUGCAAAAGGUGAUUCCAGGGGAACUGGCAAGGGGCCAUCGGGGCUGGCAAGGCCGGCCGGGAAAGCCGCCCGUGUCGCAGCAUGGAGAGGCCUCGGCAGCCCUUUGCCCCACGCGUCCCAGCGCCUUUCCCCAAAGUGCCCCCGCCAGGCGGGCAGCACUGGGCACGGGGGGCCCCAGCGUGCCUCCGGAGCAGCGCCAGCCCUCCCGGCUCCUCGGGGCGCCGCGCCGCAGCUGCCAGCCGCGGAGGAGCAAAUCCCGGUGCGGGGCUGCGAGCAGGGAGCGAAGCAACAAAACCGCUUUUCAUGCCCUAAUCCCUCGCCACAAAGCCGCGGGGCAGGGGAAGGCAGGGGACAAUGUCUCCUGUGUGAGGCAGCUGCUCCCGAAAACACCGGGCCCCCCUCGGCCGGCAGCUGCUCCCGGCCCGGUGCAAUGCCGGAGCCGCCAGCGCCGGCACGCGUUCCUCGCGCCCCGGCGGAGGAAUUUGCUGCAGCGCUUUCCAGCCCGUUUCCACAUCCCUGGGGAAUGUCCAGCGCGCAGCAGGGGGUGGGAGACGAGCCGCUCCGGCUGGCUGUCGGAGCAAGCCGUGACCGCUGCAAACGCCUGGGGACCGCGAAACCGGAGAUCCUUCCCUGCCCUUCGUUCCGCCGCCGUUUCCCUCUUUUGCAGCAACGCGUCCGCGUGCGCACCCGAACGCGCGCCGGCAGCCGACGCGAGGGGCUUUUCCGCGCGGCGCGGCCUCGCCGUCGGGCCCGGCGCUGAGCACGCACGCACUCGCUGCGGCGGCACGGGGCGCCGAGGGCCCCGCCGGGGCAGCUGGCAGUCUCAGCUUGCCCUUAUCGCGUUUGCUCUGGUGAUAAACCCACACCCUAAGCGGGCACGUUUGUGCCUGCAGUCGGAGAAGACGGAGGAAAACCGCAGGUCACCGGCGAUCCGGGCUGCAAGUUCCCCCUGCGGUGACUCACCGCCUCCUGCCUCCGUCGCCGCCCCGGGACGGGACAUGCACGGAUGUCUCCGCCAGGCACCAGAGAGGGAAGGUCCGGGCCUGGGCGAGAGAGAAAACGUUGCAGCAAACGGCUUUGCGGCAGCGGUUUUCCCCUGCUCCGGCAAUCCUCUGCUGGCAAGAGGGACGCCCUGGGCGCCGGAUUGGGACGGGGCUCUCGCCGGCCCUCGCUGCCGGGGACGCGGGGCCAGGGCAGUGCCGUUAGCAGCUCCCUGGCCACCCGCUUGGCUACCGCAGCCCUCGUCUCUCCCAAAUACCGGGAGCGCAGCGAACGGGAGCAGCUGCCAGGAGGGAGGCACGGCAAAGCCGCGGCCUCCAGCCAAGGCAGGCGCCAAGGCCGCGACAAGCCGCCAGCGAACGGCAGCCUUCAGCGCUUUCGAUUCUGCUUUUUAA